AUGCACGAACAGGUGCCGCACACUGUGUGUGUGUCGUCCGCACAGUAGGCCUAUGCAGAUAGGCCUUAUGUGCCUUACGCCUGCAUGCACGAAGCCCAGCACGCCUCGGUCCUACGUAUGCGGUAGGAGACCUGUGCUCUUGCAGGCAAGCCUACAGUGCGCUAAUAAGAGCAUUGCCACCUCGGGCAAUGCACCAUCCCUACCUUGGAUGACGCAUCGCCGCCACCGUUGAGGAAGCCCUCUUCUUUCAUUUUUCGUGCCAAGCAUAUUUUUCUCCUCUCUCUUCACUGGAUUUCACAACUUGGCAUGAAUCCAACAGUUCUAAAAUUCUAUAAAUUGCCCUCCCCCUUCCCUUCCUCUUCAUACUUCUAUUUUUCUAUUUUAUAAAGGUUUAGAGAGAG
rnacentral:lncRNA from 1 species